rnacentral:rRNA from 1 species
AUUGAACGCUGGCGGCAGGCCUAACACAUGCAAGUCGAGCGGAUGACGGGAGCUUGCUCCUUGAUUCAGCGGCGGACGGGUGAGUAAUGCCUAGGAAUCUGCCUGGUAGUGGGGGACAACGUUUCGAAAGGAACGCUAAUACCGCAUACGUCCUACGGGAGAAAGCAGGGGACCUUCGGGCCUUGCGCUAUCAGAUGAGCCUAGGUCGGAUUAGCUAGUUGGUGGGUAAUGGCUCACCAAGGCGACGAUCCGUAACUGGUCUGAGAGGAUGAUCAGGCACACUGGAACUGAGACACGGUCCAGACUCCUACGGGAGGCAGCAGUGGGGAAUAUUGGACAAUGGGCGAAAGCCUGAUCCAGCCAUGCCGCGUGUGUGAAGAAGGUCUUCGGAUUGUAAAGCACUUUAAGUUGGGAGGAAGGGCAGUAAGUUAAUACCUUGCUGUUUUGACGUUACCGACAGAAUAAGCACCGGCUAACUCUGUGCCAGCCGCCGCCGUAA